GAUGAACGCUGACGGCAGGCUUAACACAUGCAAGUGAGGAAGACGGCGGACGGGUGAGUAAGUAGUAAAGAACUUGCCUCAUGGGGAGGGACAAUAUUUGGAAACGAAUGUUAAUACUUAAUCCUGUGAGAGAGCUUUGCGUCCGAUUAGCUAGUUGGAGAGGUAAUGGCUCACCAAGGCGAUGAUGGCUAGCCGGCCUGAGAGGGUGAUCGGCUACAGAGGGACUGAGACACGGCCCUUACGCCUACGGGAGGCAGCGGUGGGGAAUAUUGGACGAUGGACCGAAGUGUGAUGCAGCACUUCUGUGUGUAAGAUGAAGUUUUCGGAAUGAAAAGUACAUUGAGUAGAUCAUCGGUACCAACAGAAGAAGUAACGGCUAAAUACGUGCCAGCAGCCGCGGUAAUUC
rnacentral:rRNA from 1 species